rnacentral:rRNA from 1 species
AUGGAUACUAGUGUUCAAGAUUCUGUUUUGCAUUGUGAUGAUUCUUCUGUGGAUGAACCAGAGCUACAGUUAGUUACCUUUGAUAUCGAGGAGUCACCUCUGGUUGAUAUAGAUCAUGUGCUUCCUGAACCAGACAUGGAGAAGUUCACCUUUGAUGACAUUAGUCACAUUGAUUCCUCAACACUUGAGCCUGAGAUGGAAACCUUCAUUGUUGAUUAUCAUGAGGUUGCUCUAGAUGUCAAGAAGCCAAGCUCUAAUAUUUCACUUGUUGACACGAGUCCGGUGGAAGUUUCUACUACCAUGCCUUCCAUAGUAUCUUCCACUAAAGUAGUCCUAAAACUUAUCUCAUAUCAUCCUAGGUAUUAUCUCAGCUUUCUCGACAAGUUAUGUCAUAUUGUUGAUAUUACCUAUGCACCAUAUGAAUUGAUGAUACCUGUGUAUGAUAUGCUCAAUAGAUAUGCUUAUGUGGUAGGAUACUCUAUUGAUGACUUAGAGGGCGUUGUCCCUAUCUAUUGUAUUGGCUUGUUUGUUGAGUGUUCUUUCAGGUUUUUGCUUGUGCACGAUCCACUACAUGUUGACCAGGUUCGAGGUGAUAUUCCUUGGGACCCCGGUGGAUUCAGAGCAUGGUGA